rnacentral:rRNA from 1 species
GACGAACGCUGGCGGCGUGCCUAAUACAUGCAAGUUGAGCGCUGAAGGUUGGUACUUGUACCAACUGGAUGAGCAGCGAACGGGUGAGUAACGCGUGGGGAAUCUGCCUUUGAGCGGGGGACAACAUUUGGAAACGAAUGCUAAUACCGCAUAAAAACUUUAAACACAAGUUUUAAGUUUGAAAGAUGCAAUUGCAUCACUCAAAGAUGAUCCCGCGUUGUAUUAGCUAGUUGGUGAGGUAAAGGCUCACCAAGGCGAUGAUACAUAGCCGACCUGGGAGGGUGCUCGGCCACAUUUGGACUGUGACACGGCCCAAACUCCUACGGGAGGCAGCAGUAGGGAAUCUUCGGCAAUGGACGAAAGUCUGACCGAGCAACGCCGCGUGAGUGAAGAAGGUUUUCGGAUCGUAAAACUCUGUUGGUAGAGAAGAACGUUGGUGAGAGUGGAAAGCUCAUCAAGUGACGGUAACUACCCAGAAAGGGACGGCUAACUACGUG